rnacentral:sRNA from 1 species
GUCGUAUCGGUUCGAUCGGGAUACUCAUCAAAUAAUAACUGAAACCGAGAAGGUACCUCUUGCUAAUGGCGGGCCAUAUAAAGUUCUUUUCAGGAACCUAAGUUGUAUAACCGGUGGAUUACAAAGGCGGAGGGCUCUCAAAUCUUAAUAGCUCGGAGUUUCAUCACAUCAUCGGUACGACCCUUUU